AUUUCAUGUUAGAAAUUAUUUUCAUCACGUUGAUGAAAGCUGUGAACUCUUUUAGAAGUGUCUACCCAUUCCACUUUGACUUGAUUCUAUCAAACAAUCUUGUGGGUCGACUGUGGGCAUUAAGACCCAAAUUGAAGACGCUAUUAAGGAUUGGCUAAAAUAUGGGACAGUAUAUGAGUAUUUUCAGUGGAG